AAUCAACGCUGGCGGCGUGCCUCAGACAUGCAAGUCGAACGCGAAAGUUUCCUUCGGGGAACAAGUAGAGUGGCGCACGGGUGAGUAACACGUAGGUAAUCUACCUUUGGAUGGGGAAUAACAGCCGGAAACGGUUGCUAAUACCGCAUAAUGCAGCGGCACCUAAUGGUGACAGUUGUUAAAGCGGGGGAUCGAAAGACCUCGCGUCUGAAGAGGAGCCUGCGGCGGAUUAGCUAGNGGUAAGGUAAUGGCUUACCAAGGCUUCGAUCCGUAGCCGGCCUGAGAGGGCGGUCGGCCACACUGACACUGACAUACGGGUCAGACUCCUACGGGAGGCAGCAGUCGGGAAUUUUGGGCAAUGGGCGAAAGCCUGACCCCAGCAACGCCGCGUGAAGGAUGAAAUCCCUCGGGAUGUAAACUUCGCAAGAACGGGAAGAAUAAGCGAGAGUUAAUAUCUUUCGUGAUGACGGUACCGUUUGU
rnacentral:rRNA from 1 species